CGGCAAUGCGGAGCUACAAUGCAGUCGAGCGCAUGAGUGGAGCUUGUUCUCUGAUUAGGCGACGGACGGGUGAGUAAUGCCUAAGAGUCUGCCUGGUAGUGGGGGACAUGGUUGCGAAAGGGACGUUAAUCCCGGAUACCUGCUAUAGGAGAAAGUGGGGGAUCUUCUUACCUCACGCUAUCUUAUGAGGCUAGGUUGGAUUGUCUAUUUGGUGAGGUAAAGGCUCGCCAAGGCUACUAUCCGAAGCUGGGCUGAAAGGAUGAUCCGAUGCACUGGCAAUGAGACAGGGUCCUCACUCCUACUGGAGGUGAGACUGGGGAAUAUUGCACAAUGGGGGAAAGCCUGAUCCAUCCUUGCCGCGGGUGUAAAGAAUGACUUCGGAUUGCCAAGCACUUUAAGUUGGUUUUAAGGUCAGUAAGUUCUACCUUGCGGUUUAGACGUUGCCAACAGAAUAAGCACCGGCUAACUUCGUGCCUGACCCGCGGUCAUACCUAAGUAGCUGGCGUUAAUCGCAAUUACUGGUAGGAAAGAGCGCUUAUGUGGAUCUAUUGGUUGGAUGUGAAACCCCCGGGGUCCUUCUGGUAACAGCUUCCAGCACUGGCGAUAUCCAUGAUGGGACAUUGUGGUGUAAUUGACUGGGUUGCGGAGGAAUACAUUGAAAUUCCACGGAACACGAUUGAAUGAGGCGACAUCCGGGGGAACUACUGACGCUGAGGUGACUCUCCGUGCUGAACCUACCGGUGAAGAUACCAUGCGUGUGCACCGCACAAGAUAAGACAACUAGCCAGUCCGAUCCGUGAAAUCUUAGUGGUACAUCUAAGGCGGUAUCCCGCACCUUCUGGGGAGUACUGACCGCAUUAGUCAAAACUCCCAUGGAAAUGACGGGGCGCCACGGCAUGAACCUCAGAAGCAUGUGACUGUAAGUUCGAACAACGCGUAGAACCUGUACCUUGGACUUCGACAUCACCAGAACUAUCCUUGACCAUGGAUUUGGUCUCCCUCUGGACAAUCCUGACCAAAAGAGCAUGCAUCGCCUUGUCGUCACGCUACGUGAUCAGUGAGAUGCAUGGNUGAACGUUCCCGCUACCGGACNCGAACCUGUGUCCUUAGUUACCGACACGAUCACGAGUCGCUUGCUCUUAGGUGACUGCAGUGGACUUAGCCCGACGCUAGNGGACAGUGCACGUCAGAUCUCGAG
rnacentral:rRNA from 2 species